GGGAACUAUGGGAGGAAUUUGGCUUCUGGGUUUUUGUGCAGUCGCAUUGUGGCUUAAAGGGUCUUGUUUACCGAUUGAUCAUAAUGGAGGAAUACACUAUGAACCAAAAGGGACUGGAAACUCCCUGUCCCAAAAUGAGAUUCCUCUAAAGAGAAAGGUUGCUUUACUUCAGUCAAUGGAUUACAGGUUGCUGGGAACUUCAAAAGAAGUGCAACUGGAAACCAAUGAAGUGGAAUUGGACGUGUCAAGCGACGCCUCCCACAACGUGUCGAGCGACGCCUCCCACAACG